UACGUAGGGUGCGAGCGUUGUCCGGAAUUAUUGGGCGUAAAGGGCUCGUAGGCGGUCUGUUACGUCGGGAGUGAAAACUCGGGGCUCAACCCCGAGCCUGCUUCCGAUACGGGCAGACUAGAGGUAUGCAGGGGAGAAUGGAAUUCCUGGUGUAGCGGUGAAAUGCGCAGAUAUCAGGAGGAACACCGGUGGCGAAGGCGGUUCUCUGGGCAUUACCUGACGUUGAGGAGCGAAAGUGUGGGGAGCGAACAGG
rnacentral:rRNA from 1 species